GUGGGGAAUCUUGCGCAAUGGGCGAAAGCCUGACGCAGCCAUGCCGCGUGAAUGAUGAAGGUCUUAGGAUUGUAAAAUUCUUUCACCGGGGACGAUAAUGACGGUACCCGGAGAAGAAGCUCCGGCUAACUUCGUGCCAGCAGCCGCGGUAAUACGAAGGGGGCUAGCGUUGCUCGGAAUUACUGGGCGUAAAGGGCGCGUAGGCGGACAGCUUAGUCAGAGGUGAAAGCCCAGGGCUCAACCUUGGAAUUGCCUUUGAUACUGGCUGGCUUGAGUUUGGGAGAGGUGAGUGGAACUCCGAGUGUAGAGGUGAAAUUCGUAGAUAUUCGGAAGAACACCAGUGGCGAAGGCGACUCACUGGCCCAAUACUGACGCUGAGGCGCGAAAGCGUGGGGAGCAAACAGGAUUAGAAACCCCAGUAGUCC
rnacentral:rRNA from 1 species